rnacentral:rRNA from 1 species
GAUCCUGGCUCAGGAUGAACGCUGGCGGCGUGCCUAACACAUGCAAGUCGAACAGGUAAAUAAGAGGAAGUUUUCGGAUGGAAUCGUAUUUACCGAGUGGCGGACGGGUGAGUAACGCGUGGAUAACCUGCCUCAUACAGGGGGAUAACAGUUAGAAAUGACUGCUAAUACCGCAUAAGCGCACAGUACCGCAUGGUACGGUGUGAAAAACUCCGGUAGUAUGAGAUGGAUCCGCGU